UGUGAUAGAGGUUGCAUUUGACUGUGUAUAACUAAUGGUAAAUGCAUCCUCUAUUACCAC
rnacentral:pre_miRNA from 1 species